rnacentral:rRNA from 1 species
UACGGGGGGGGCAAGCGUUGUUCGGAAUUACUGGGCGUAAAGGGCUCGUAGGCGGCCAACUAAGUCAGACGUGAAAUCCCUCGGCUUAACCGGGGAACUGCGUCUGAUACUGGAUGGCUUGAGAUUGGGAGAGGGAUGCGGAAUUCCAGGUGUAGCGGUGAAAUGCGUAGAUAUCUGGAGGAACACCGGUGGCGAAGGCGGCAUCCUGGACCAACACUGACGCUGAGAGAGCGAAAGCCAGGGGAGCAAACGGG